rnacentral:tRNA from 1 species
CGGAGUGUAGCUCAGCCUGGUAGAGCACCGUCUUCGGGAGGCGGGGGUCNGNGGNUCAAAUCCUCUCACUCCGACCA